UAAAGGGUGUAGUUAGGUUAGAUGAAGGUGGUAGUUAGGUUAGACGAAGGUUGUAGUUAGGUUAGAUGAAGGUGAUAGUGAGGUUAGAUGAACCUAACUGAGAAAAAACACCUAACCUCACUAAUAAAGAACUCUAACGUCGCUCACAACAUCUAAACUCUCUUACAAUCACGUACAAAAAACUUAAACCUCACAGGUCCAUGAAAUUAACACCUUUACUUAUGCAACGUAUUUAUUGCUACAAUGGCUACAUACACAUAAAAGAUGUACAAAAAUUACUGCAAUGACUCUUUAUCAAACUACCCGAACCCAGCGGUUCGCUCGGUAACUCAAAAACACUUAUUUAAAUUAGAUUUUGAGCUUCGGGCUUAGGAGAUAGGAUCAACUCAAUUUAUUUUUGAUCGCAUAGAUAUUGUAGUAUACACAAUAGUCAUACGUGUAUUGUGUGUUGCCUACUUCUAAUUUGAAUUUUUGACGUAACAUGCGAGCUGGACUCCCACUAUCGGAUUGUCUCCAAAAAGUCACUAUAUCCAAACUUAGUAAUAUAGGAACUUAAGUCAAAAUCUUUGUCCAUAUUCAACAUUGAACUCAACGAUUUUUUAAUCACAAGUUUAUAUCGUUCAGACAUCUAGCGUUGGAGCAAUAAACUAAUUGUGUUACCAUUAUUUGCAGAAAAUGAUAUUACAACUAGUUUAUUAGUUCAAGCUUUCUUUCAAAGAGAUCGCCACCUAAGUACUCUAGGUCCCUGCAUUUAUCGGCAAACAUUUGAACACUCAGUUUACUUCAUGUACGCCAGAUGUCACAACGAUACAAAAAUUGGAAGUAAGCUUUGAAUUUAUCCUUCAAUUUCUUGAGGUGCUGUUUUUUUAUUAUUCUUUAUGCAAUCAAAGAGGGUGUACAAUGCAGUUAUUAUUAUUAUCGUGCACACCGUGUCUGCUACGAUACCGGCGAUUCAAUUCCAAUUCCAAAAGGAAAAGGGAGUAAAAGGAAGUAGGAAUUACAAGUUUUUUCCAGUGAAUAAAUAAAAAAUUCGCCAGUAAGGGUGUAAUCGACCUUCUUGGUGAUUAUCAUUAUUUUCUCUUAGUACUUCGCAUGGAGAUUGUUAUGUUGGAGAAGGAAAAUAAUAGUCUAAAUUAUGUUGAACAAUGCCGUUUUUCUGAACGUCGUGUAGGUAUGAUUGGUGGCCUACCUAUAAGGGUAAAUUGCGAAUGAAAAUUCAAGUUUUCAUGGAAUUUUAUUGAAGCUCUUAAGAUUCUAAAAACUAAAUUUAUAUUACACGAGUUAGACAUUCAUUUUUCCAUAAGUUCCGCGAGUACUAAACAAAAAUCAAUUUUGGUAUGCAAAGUGGCGACAUGAAACGCUAGUCACCAAUUACAUGUAUUUGCUGCAAGCUAUGUAUGUAUAAAUUUAUGCAGUGCAUAAAUGUAACAAAAUACAGCAAAAUUAGAAAACAGCAGUAUGAUUUAUAAUGAAAAUUUCCGGCGCAUUUUAGGCAAAUUAAUAUCGUUCACACAUCUAGUGCUGGAGGAAUGAACUAAUCAUUACCUAAAUAUCUUAGAUCCUUGCAUUUAUCGGAAAAGUUUUCCGUCAUUGGUUAGCGACAUCUAUGUUAAAUGGAUGCAACAUUACGGAGGAAAUAGUAAAGUGCCCUGCAACAAUUUGCACUUAGUUCAAGCAAAUAACGUUAGAUGUCAGAACGAUAUCUUUUAUGAAUUUUAGUGCCUACCGUAAUUUUGUCUUAUGAUGUUGCUACAUUUUAGCCUAAAACAAAUAAAUUUCAAAGUUUAUAAUUGGUUGCUGUCAUUGUUUAAUCAUAUACAAUAGUUUCAUGUUCACAACAAUUGAUUUGUUUACGUGCGAAAUGUGUACCCUGGUGUAUAGGCAACUCAUCAUACAUUCAUUCUGGAUUCUGAACAGGAGGUCAUUAUUUGUAACAAUAACCAAAUAGCAACAAAAAUAAAAGUUUUGUUGUCAAAAUUAUGUAAAUUACAAACAAGGUAGGUACCUAAUAAAUUUUUGAAUGUGUACCCAGAUUUUGGUUCACAUAGGGAUGGUGUCCAGAACUCAAGACGGUCAAUGUAGCAACCCUAGCUCUUCCCGUUGAAUGUACCACUUUUAUUUGUUAGAAAAACUUCCCAACUUUUCAUGGGAGAUCACUAAUUAAAAAUUGAGCUGGUUAACACCGCUCUGGAAUGGAAUACAGAGCGGUGUCCCAAAUAUCUCCACCACCAUUGCUUCUAAUGGUUUUUUAAGCUUAUUCUUUCUUCAAAUGGAGGGGUAGGAAAUCGAAUAAUCGCAAUGCUAUCCGAGAGAGGUACUCUUUUCAGUCCAUAGAAAAAGUUACCACCUUGGGGAGAUCCCUAACUAAAAAUUGAGCUGGCCAACACCGCUCUGGAAUGGAACACAGGGAGGUAAUUCCCUUUGAUUGUCAACGAUUUUCUGGAGAUGGAGGGGUAGAUCCUCAAUGAUCCCGACACUGUCAUCAGAGAUGUGCCUCUUCUAGUGAAUCAACAUCCCCAUGAAAUGCCCACCAUCUUUUCAUGAGAUCUCCAAGUAAAAAUGGCCAACACUGCACUGGAAUGGAAUAUAAGUAGAUAGGCCAUUAUUUGUAACAAUAACGAAAUAGCAACAAAAAUAAUAAAAGUUUUGUUGUCAAAAUUAUGUAAAUUACAAACAAGGGAUGGUGUCCAGAACUCAAGACGGUCAAUGUAGCAACCCUAGCUCUUCGCGAUGAAUGUACCACUUUUAUUUGUUAGAAAAACUUCCCAACUUUUCAUGGGAGAUCACUAAUUAAAAAUUGAGCUGGUUAACACCUCUCUGGAAUGGAAUACAGAGCGGUGUCUCAAAUAUCUCCACCGCCAUUGAUUCUAAUGGUUUUUUAAGCUUAUUCUUUCUUGAAAUGGAGGGGUAGGAAAUCGAAUAAUCGCAAUGCUAUCCGAGAGAGGUAUUCUUUUCAGUCCCUAGAAAAAGUUACCACCAUGGGGAGAUCUCCCUAACUAAAGAUUGAGCUGGCCAACACCGCUCUGGAAUGGAAUACAGGGAGGUAAUUCCCUUUGAUUGUCAACGAUUUUCUGGAGAUGGAGGGGUAGAUCCUCAAUGAUCCCGACACUGUCAUCAGAGAUGUGCCUCUUCCAGUGAAUCAACAUCCCCAUGAAAUGCCCACCAUCUUUUCAUGAGAUCUCCAAGUAAAAAUGGCCAACACCGGACUGGAAUGGAAUAUAAGUAGAGCUAAUUCAAUUGUCAACGAAUUUCUGGAAAUGGAGGGGUAGGAAAUGGAACAAUCGCAAUGCUAUCCGAGAGAGGUACCACUUUCAGUCCCUAGAAACUUACCACCUUUUCAUGGGAGAUCCCUAACUAAAAAUUGAGCUGGCCAACACCGCUCUGGAAAGGAAUACUUAGAGGGAGGUAAUUCCCUUUGAUUGUCAACAAUUUUCUGGAGAUGGAGGAGUAGAUCCUCGAUGAUCCCGACACUGUCAUCACAGACGUGCCUCUUCCAGUCAAUUCAACAUUCCCAUGAAAUGCCCACCAUCUUUUCACGAGAUCCCCAAGUAAAAAUGGAGCUGGCACUGGAAGGGUUAAGUAGAGCUAAUUCAAUUGUCAACGAUUUUCUGGAGAUAGUAGGCCUUGCUGUCGUUAGAAAAGGUUACCCCAUUUUCGUAUGUGAUUCCUAAUUCAAAAUGCAGGUCACCAACCUCACUUCGAUUGGGGACAACGUUCGAAGCACGGUGAGAUGGAGAAAUACAGUACUGACGGGUAAUCCCCAUCUUCUCUGUCGAGGACUACAGCGACGGAUGCAGUAAGGAAACCACGUCCGUUUCGGAAAUCUGGAAAAUACAAAUCCGUCGUGAGUAUCGGUACAAACUAAUUUCGUUCGUUCGUGUCAAAGCCCUAACUGCACUUGGAAGUACACUUAGUGCAGCACGCGUAGGUAUACGAUUCCUACCGAUUGUUCUAAUCAGGUUAGAAAGGAUGAGGAUGACAACUAUAAAAACCAAAAGGCAUAUUUCAAUUUUAAAUUUUUUGGAAUAAAAAAAAAAAUAAAAAAACGAAAAAAAAAUCAAAAUAAAAAAAAUAUAAUU